rnacentral:rRNA from 1 species
UACGUAGGGGGCAAGCGUUGUCCGGAAUCAUUGGGCGUAAAGAGCGCGUAGGCGGUCCGGCAAGUCCGCUGUGAAAGCCCGGGGCUCAACCCCGGGAGGCGGGCGGAUACUGUCGGGCUAGAGUCCGGAAGAGGCGAGUGGAAUUCCCAGUGUAGAGGUGAAAUUCGUAGAUAUUCGGAAGAACACCAGUGGCGAAGGCGGCUCACUGGACCGGUAUUGACGCUGAGGUGCGAAAGCGUGGUGAGCAAACAGG